GAGAGCACAGUACGAUGAAAGUUGUAAACUGUGUUCGGGGGGGGGGGGGGGGGGGGGGGUUAUUGUCUAUCGUUGGCCUCUAUGGUAGAAUCAGUCGGGGGACCUGAGAGGCGGUGGUUUACCCUGC
rnacentral:ncRNA from 1 species